UUUUGCCUCAUCAAGUGUCGCCUUCUCCGUCAAUCAUGUCAUUCAAAGACAAUCCUUGUAGGAAAUUUCAAGCCAACAUUUUCAACAAAAGUAAAUGCCAGAACUGCUUCAAGCCCAGAGAAUCACAUUUGCUGAACGAUGAAGACUUAAAUCAGGCAAAGCCUAUAUAUGGAGGAUGGUUGCUACUGGCACCAGAGGGGACAAAUUUUGACAAUCCUUUACACAGAUCUCGGAAAUGGCAGAGGAGGUUCUUCAUUCUUUACGAGCACGGCUUACUUCGCUAUGCUCUGGACGAAAUGCCCAGUACUCUACCACAGGGUACAAUCAAUAUGAACCAGUGCUCCGACGUCAUUGAUGGAGAGUCCAGGACGGGUCAGAAGAACUCGCUUUGCAUCCUAACCCCUGACAAAGAGCACUUCAUACGGGCCGAGUGUAAAGAAAUAAUCAAUGGGUGGCAGGAGGCUCUGACUGUUUACCCCAGGACCAACAAGCAGAACCAGAAGAAAAAACGCAAGGUUGAUCCACCCAGUCACCAGGGUGGAGAAACUGCAAGCCAGUGUUUUUCCACUGAAGACAUGAAUGGACACCCAGAGCCUGGUCCUGCCAAGGUGACCGUGACCAGCAGCAGCAGCAGUGGAGGAAGCAUCCCUUGCCUGGCCAGCAACAUCGCCAGUGCCGAGCGUGUCCCGAUGAGCCGUGCCACUCUGUGGCAGGAGGAGAACCGCUGGAGCAGGGCCACCAUCCCCUGCAGCCGCAGUGCCUCCUGUCUGAGCCAGCUGAGCCAGAGCCAACCAGACUCCAGUAUCACUACUCAAGAUGAUGGAGGCGCCAUGAGCACCGGACGCAAGGUACGAGUGGAGAGUGGCUACUUUUCCCUGGAGAAGACAAAGUCCGAGCCUUCUCCACAAUUUCAGCCACCCCAGCCACCCCAGCAUCUACCUUUGUCAUCGUCAGCAUCUUCCUCCUCUCUAGGAGCUCUCAGUCCCAGGUACAACUCUGAGUCCGAAUCCCAAACUUCCCCUUAUCAACCCUCCCAAGAUCCUCUCCCUUCUCCAGGUGCACUUGUUUCCCCCAGCUACUCCACCAUCAGCUCCUCCCAGAGCUCGCUGGAUUCUGAACCCAGCGGGUCUACACCCACCUCGGACGGACGCAGUGGUGGUGGUGGAGGAAGCAUUUGUAGUGUCAGUGGUGGAGGAGGCAGAGUGGGCCGGCCUGGCAGGGAGUACACAGCGCUGUCUGAUGUGCCCCGGGCUCGCAGACUGAGUUACCGCGAAGCCUUCCGCUCAGACAAAAAGCGGCAAGAGCUGAGGGCACGGACCCGGAGUCCUGGCCGAGAGGAGGUGGCUCGGCUGUUUGGGAAAGAGCGCAGGCGUUCUCAAAUCAUUGGCAGAUUUGAGGAUGGUCAGCCUGUAGAGCGCAUGGACAUAAGUAGCUCCAAUGAGCCCUCUGCUAACACCACGCUAAGCCAGAGACAAGGACGCAGCGAGAGGCGCUAUCUGGCCAACAAACAUGAGAUGUCACUGGAUGCAGGAAAGGAUCGCUCAGUCCCUGAUGUGUCCAGCUCCACUUAUGCCAAUUUAAGAAGAGCCAAGUCACUGGAUCGCAGAGUCACCGAGUCCUCAAUGACUCCAGAUCUGCUGAACUUCAAAAAAGGAUGGAUGACAAAGCUGUAUGAAGAUGGAAUGUGGAAGAAACACUGGUUUGUCCUGACAGAUCAGAGUUUGAGGUACUACAAGGACUCAAUAGCCGAGGAGGCUUCAGAACUUGAUGGUGAGAUUGACCUCGCCACCUGUUAUGAUGUCAAAGAGUUCCCAGUCCAGAGGAAUUACGGCUUCCAAAUCCUGUGUAAAGAGGAAGCGUGCACCCUGUCAGCCAUGACCUCUGGAAUCCGUCGCAACUGGAUUCAGGCCAUCAUGAAGAAUGUGCGGCCUGCUAUUGCCCCAGAUGUCACUCGAUCCCUCGCUGACGAGAAGACAAAAGCCCAUGUGAUGUUGGAGCCGUGUCCACAGGCCACCUCUGAGCCAAGCCCUAAUCAUGAGGCCCCCAAGUCUGAUGUCCACAGACAGCCAGCUGGCAACAAUGUCUCUGCUCCUCCCUCUGAACCCCGAAAAAGCAGAGUUCGUGAGCGCAGACGAGAGGGUCGCUCCAAGACUUUCGACUGGUCUGAGUUCAAAAUGGAAAAGACAGAAAAGCCUGUGAAGGAACGAGCCGACACAGUCGACCUCACCUCAUCAUUCUCCACAACGUCUUCAUAUUGCUCUCCGUCCUCUUCCCCUUCCUCUUCCUCAUUAGCGUCCUCUCCUAUCUCUACCUCCUCCCUCCAAACCUCUUCUGUGUCAGGUGCUCACCCACCUUCUAUGACAGUAGAAGAAGAAAAAGAGGGUGUAAGGAGGGGUGUCCCUCCAUGUAGAACAACCAGUGCAACCCAUAUGCCAAAUAGUGUUACUGUUACUAUGACCUCCACACUAAACACUUCAACACCGGUACAGCCAUCGAUACCUGAAUGCCAAGGGCAAGGAAACAUGGAAGUAGACCAUCCUGCUCGUGAAGAUAAGAUGGAAAACAAAACCUCAGAUGUCCACGUAGAGAUUGAGCAGCGCUGGCAUCAGGUGGAGACAACACCAUUAAGAGAAGAGAAGCAAGUGCCCAUCAACACAGGUUCAGGAAACUCUGACAGAUUGCCUGCAAAUGAGCUUGCUGCACUGCUAGACAAAGAGUUGGGACAGAAGCAGCAGGAGCUGGACAGACUUCAGAAGCAAAACAAUGUUUUAAAAGAGCAGUUGGAAAAUGCACUAGGGAGGGAACAAAGUGCCAGAGAUGGCUAUAUACUGCAGGCCACGUGUGAACGUGGCUUUGCAGCAAUGGAAGACACGCACCAGAAGGUUGUACACGACCUCCAGAGGCAGCAUCAGAGGGAGAUCUCCAAACUUAUGGAAGAGCGAGAGAGACUAUUGGCUGAGGAGACGGCUGCCACAAUUGCUGCUAUUGAAGCGAUGAAGAAUGCACACAGGGAGGAACUGGAGAAGACCCAUCGUUCCCAACUGAGUGGAUUGAACUCUGACAUCGAUGAACUUCGCUUACAAUUCGAGGAGGAGCUGCAGUCCAUCCACAGAGAACUGGAGGUGCUGUCAGAGCAGUAUUCUCAGAAAUGUCUGGAGAACGCUCACCUGGCACAGGCACUGGAGGCCGAGAGGCAGGCCCUCAGGCAGUGUCAGAGAGAGAACCAGGAGCUGAACGCCCACAACCAGGAGUUAAAUAACCGACUGACUACAGAGAUCACUCGUAUGCGCUCCUGUUUCAGUGGCGAAACAGCACUGGCACCACUUACCCAGGGCAAAGAUGUGUAUGAACUGGAGGUGUUGCUUCGAAUUAAGGAGUCAGAGAUCCAGUAUCUUAAACAGGAAAUCCACUCUUUGAAAGAUGAACUGCAGUCUGCUUUAAGGGACAAGAAAUAUGCCACAGACAAAUAUAAGGACAUCUAUACAGAGCUCAGCAUUGCGAAAGCAAAGGCCGACUGCGACAUCGGCAAACUGAAGGAGAAGCUGCUCAUCGCCACAGAAGCUCUGGGCGAGAAGACUGUUGAUGGAACGGUCACAUCUGGAUACGAUAUCAUGAAAUCAAAAAGUAAUCCAGAUUUCCUGAAAAAGGAACGAUCAAUGGCCUCCAAGCAAUCAAGAGGCAUGAGGUCAAAGUCUGUCAUUGAACAGGUCUCAUGGGAUAGCUGACACCCCCCAUUGUGGGGUGAUCCCCCCCCCAACCCCUGCCCCAAGAUGUGCUGUAGAGCCUGAAAGAGGGACUAACCGUGCAGGAGCGUAUGAAGCUUUUUGAGGCAAAGGAUUCCAAAAAGAUUUGAAUAUCAAGAAUCUGAAGUUUUGUUUCUCUUUCUUGACCUUGGUUUUUGGUCAGAAUGCUUCGGAUUUGCCAGCAACAGCUGACGACUAUUAUUGGAAAUUGGAAAUACAUUUAUCAAGGUCAGUUUUAAUCCUGGACCUGCUGCUUCCAUGCUCCUGACAAGUUGUCAUAGUUUUGUUUCUUUUCUUUUUUUUUUUUAUUAAUUGAAAAAAAGUUUUAUUGAAUCAAUCCUGUGUGAGGUUUCUUUAAAAAAAAUCCAUGGAUGUAUAAUCUGUCCAAUAGGGAGAAGCAGGUGAUGUGUCAAAUAAGCUGCGAGAGGGAUACAUGACAGCAUUUUUACUGAUCCUCCAAAAUGCCAAAAUAGACAGCAAUACACAGUACAAGUAAUAUAUAUUUCCCAAUAUGAAUUAAGUAUCUGCUGUAUUUUAUUAUUGUUACAGUUUCUAUAUCUAAUAAUUUUAAUGUGUUUAAUGUUGCACCAGUUUUUUUGUACAUAACUACUGGAUAUAUGUAAGAGUAUGGUUUGCUAUUGAUUGUUGGGGCAUCUGCUGUACUAUAACUAUGGUUUGAUUGAUAGUGGAAAACAAUGUGAUGCUUCACUUGCUUUUGUAUGAGAGUUUUAUAAAAAAUGGCGUGUCUUGUGUGUGAAGGGGGUAAAGAGGGGUGGGAUUGCACUUAUCACUUGACUACUUGAGGAAGCUUUUUUUUUUUUAUUCGUCUCAAAUUGGUGUAGUGACUUCAAGUCGAUUUUUGCAGUGCAACCAAACAUCCGGACUUCUGUCAAAUUUAGUGAACAACCGUGACAUACUGGAUUUUUUUAAAGUUUCUUAAAACCUGGAUUUGUGUUUGCUCAGUUUUGACUUUUGUGUGAGAAUAUCAUCUCAGAAAAAUAAAACGGACCUAUUUAGGAAUUUGCAUGACUGUACAGUAUCAUUUGAAUUGCAGAAUGAUCAUGUUGCCUCAUUUCCCUACUUAAUGCUUUAGUGUGAAACUCUAAAACACUAAUAAGCUUUGCUUUGCAAGUCCUACUGUUAAGGUGUUGAGAUUGAAAUGUUUUACUGUAAGCGGCAGUCUUUAAGCACUUGGCCCAAUCCCUGACCUCUCACUAAAAUCUAGUUGUGCCUCAACUGAGUGAAGAAUUUAAGCAUCCAUGAAACCUGUGCAGCUAAGGAUACACACUGUAUAGUAUUCAAACCAUGUCUUGUAUGUGUGUGUCUAUAUAUAUAUAUAUAUAUAUAUAUAUAUAUAUAUAUAUAUAUAUAUAUAUAUAUAUAUAUAUAUAUAUAUAUAUAUAUAUGCCACACACAAGACUUCUGUGUUUUGUUUUAAACUUGUACCUUGCUCAUUAGCUCUAUAUGAAAUAUAUAUGAAUAUUUUUUAUUUUCAUUUGAAUGUAUAAU